rnacentral:rRNA from 1 species
GCCCGCUCAAGAAACUACAAAGGAAUUGACGGGGCCCGCACAAGCGGUGGAGUAUGUGGUUUAAUUCGAUGCAACGCGAAGAACCUUACCUGGUCUUGACAUCCCGGAGACCCUUAGGAAACUAGGGGGUGCUUCCAUCUGGAAGAAUCUGGAGACAGGUGCUGCAUGGCUGUCGUCAGCUCGUGUCGUGAGAUGUUGGGUUAAGUCCCGCAACGAGCGCAACCCUUGCCUUUAGUUGCCAGCAGUUCGGCUGGGCACUCUAAAGGGACUGCCGGUGUUAAACCGGAGGAAGGUGGGGAUGACGUCAAGUCCUCAUGGCCUUUAUGACCAGGGCUACACACGUACUACAAUGGCCGAUACAAAGGGCAGCGACACUGCGAGGUGAAGCCAAUCCCGUAAAAUCGGUCUCAGUCCGGAUUGGAGUCUGCAACUCGACUCCAUGAAGUUGGAAUCGCUAGUAAUCGUGGAUCAGCAUGCCACGGUGAAUACGUUCCCGGGCCUU